GAGGGCUGGGGGGGUUGGUGUGGGGCAGGGGAGGAGGGGAGGGAGAGGGAGCUGGGAUUGGCAUGUGAAGCAAGCUUGUUACUAAUUGAAAUAAAAAAUGAUGAAUAUUUUAAAAAGGAUAAAGGUAUUUAAAACAAAACCCAGCUCUUUGUCUUUAAGGUAGAGGUAAUAGUUGUAUUUACACAUGCUCAGGGGUUGGGGAUUUAGGUCAGCGGUAGAAUACUUGUCUAACAAAAAGAAGGACCUGGGUUCAGUCAGUUUAGGGCAAAAUGGAAUGGGGGCAAGGGGAAGACAGAAUUCCAAACAAAACAACCAAACCAAAACCAAGGUAACCUCACAGCUUAAGCAAGAAAUACUUGCAUGAUGGUCAAAGUAAAUUCACACUAGGGAACAAACUGGUGUGCUUUUACUUUCUUCAUAUCUACAGUGCUUCCCCCUCAUUAACCCGCAGAGAAUGAAUUAAGUGACUCUGCACAAAGUAAAAACUGUAGCUCUGAAGGGUGGUGGCGGCAUUCAGGAGACAGAGGCAGGUGGAGGAGACGGUGGCCCCAUGGGAACAGGGCUCUUAGCCAACUCUGUGACCAACUGACUGCCCAGCAGGAUGUUUAGCUUGCUAUGUAUUUACAGCUGUAAAAUUAAUUUAAAUCAGUACCAAAUUUCACUACAAAUCACAUUACAUCUAUGCAGGCAUAAUCAAGCUGAUGCGAUAAGGAGACCGAACCACAAUUCAAAGAUUUCUUGACAGCUACCAAAGAUAAGCAUUUGGAUAUGCAUUAAAAUGAGCAAACCUACGCUACAGUAUUCACCAACUACUAUAAAACUGGAUAAUUGAUUGCUUAAUGUCAAAUACAAUGAUCUCAAACUUCCGUUUUUUGCCUAAAGAAGGCACAGAUUUUAAAAAAUUAAGAUUAUCGAAAUAAUUGAAAUAUAAAUUGUGUGUUUUUAAAAUACAUACAGUCUUUACUGGGCCAACACAAUGGCUCAGAAGGUAAAGGUGCUUGCUACCAAGCCUGACAGCCCUAGUUCAAUCCCCAGAACUGACACGAUGGGAGAAGAAACAGUACUCCCACAAAACUCUUGUCUGACUUCCAGCAUGCAUGCCAUGACCCCCACACAGAAGUGAAUGUAAUAAAACAUACACUAUAGUCAUGCGGUUAUCUGGACUAACCCUGAAUAUCAAAACAACACUUCUGAGACCCACUGGGUUAGAUCACUGUCUGUGUCGACAGUACAGAAGAGUCACUGGCCCACACGAGGGUUCAUUGCAAAUAUAUACGGGCUGACCCUGCUCUCUCCAGACAGUGGUGGAAUUGAGCAGUAAAAGCUAGGACUAGAUGGAUGAUGGUGUCUAAAAUAUUUACUAACUGGCCAAUAAUGGAAACAUGCUUGCUGACUCCCACUGUACACAAGUUAUUUCUCAUGAAGGGACAGGGCAGUCUUUUAAAAAGCACUAAACAAAAACAAACAACCCUCAAUUUUGCAAAAUUCUUUUAAAAUAUACUUUAUCACAAACUCCCAGCCUGGGCAUGCCAGCCAGAGAGGAUAUAUAAUAUAUACAGGAGUAUUUGGGGUGUAAAUGGAGCUGUUCUCAAAAGGUAGUGUGCGUGUUAUAAAAGGAAGACAAGGACUGCUUCAUAGUCAAACUUUUUGGUCUAACUCAUCAAUCCUGAACAUAAAUGACUAGCCAUUUCCUCCACAUCAAAUUGACUUUCUGUAGCACUGCAGCAGCUGCUGAGUUAGCAAACUCUGAGUCACUACCCCUAAGGGAAAUACAGGUUCCUGCUAGCUAGCCUCUGGUCAUAUUUUCCUCAGCCAUCUCAACACAUACCCUCUUUUGUAUGUAUCUAUACUUAAAGAUCCCUAUUUCACAUUGUUGACUUACUGACAUUCACUCAUGGCCAGGAGCGGUACAAGUCAUGCCAGAGUGAACUUACUCAGCCCAUCUUCUCCAUAGGCGCGCUAUAACCUCUUAUACUUAAGAGAUAAAACAAGAGAGCAAAAAGCCUGGGGUAGGAUUGUUGCCUCAAGUGCUGUGCGAGCAUGAGGACCUGAGCUCAAUCCCAGCAGUCACAUGAAGGCUGCAAGGCUAUGUGCAUCUUUAAACCCUGUGCAAUGGGAGCAGAGACAGGAAGAUCCUGCGUGUUCACUGGCCAGCUAGCCCAGCUUCAACAGCAAGCUCCAGGCUCAGUCAGUAAGAGGCCCCAACUCAAAAGAAAAGAAAAAAAAAAGGUAGAGAAAGAGUAAGAGAGGGAAGGAUCCCAUUUUAAUCUCUGGUACGUGUGAGUGUACUCGAGUACACACACACACACACACACACACAUAUUAAGUAAAUAAUUUUUAAAAGAAUGAAGACCCCUAAUUGUUCGGCUUUAGCUGGCUCGUAAGGCUCACACUGCUACUCCAUAUACGUACAUCUUCAAAUGACCCCAAAUCAUCUUGAGUAUUGAUCAGGAAUAAAAAUAAAUUUUGUGAACAAGGCAGAUCAUAAAUACAGAAUUGGCAAGAAAUGAGGCUUAAAUGUAUAAUGAUGGGUCAGUACCGAUGACCUGUGACCAGCUUUAAAAAAUAAAAUUCCAAGGAACAGCAAUAUUGGCAACACCUGUACCAGAUGGGCUGCCUUUGACGUAUUUGUUAUAUACAAAGUGAGUGCCCUCUUUCACUCCAGAAGCCCUCCAUAUGGCUUAGUUUCUACUUUGAGUCCAACCUCUGAGAGUUGAAUGAGGCACUUGCCACCAGAAGUCAGCUACCACUUAUUACUAUAUAAAUUCAUGCCUUUUCCACUAGGCCGUGAUCUCCCAGAGGGAUCUCACUCCCACCCCCCAGCCCCUCCUGCUUUCUCUACCAGAACAAGACCUUUGAUAAGAUACUGAUGAACUCUUGCAGAAUGAAUGAACAGAAAUCGUUACCUAUACAAAAGUAACGUGUGUAUGAAGAAACAAAUGGGAAAUUUUCAAUAGAUUCUGCACAAUUUCCCAACCAGUUAACUGUGCAGGUUAGGAAGGGUGUGGAAUGCUGGUUUCUGGGCUCAACAAAGGCGAGAAGGGAAAGUCGAGUUCAUUAUAGCAUGCUAUGGUUCUGUGUGUAACCCCCAACUGACUAAGACAGAAACGAUGCCCUAAGAAGGUCCUACUCCAGAGAACAGGGUCAUAAGUAAACAACUAGAGCUUUAGCGUGUGAAGAGUUUGGGGCCAGUAUGGUCACAUGGGCUCAGUGCUAUCUGACCUGACAGGAAGUCCCCCACUUGUGACUUGGCCAGGACUGAGCUCUUUACUUGAGGUUAAAGAACAGAGCCUAAGAACCGGGAUGACAAUUAGCAUCAUGAAGUUAUUCUACAAGCUGUAACUUACCCUAGGAGGCAGGUGUUUGCUAGAUGAGUGACCUGCCUGAUCGGUAGGCUUUUCCCAUCCCAAACUUUCAAUUCUCUGUCUACUGAACUACAGACUCCCACUACUUAGACUGACGGAAAUAACUGUACAAAAGGAAACGGAGAAUCAACCAAGUGACUCAUGAUUUCACUGACAUUAUGGACUAAGAUUGUCUUCAUGAAGGUGGCAUUUUUAUUGUUUACUCUGCAUGCUCAGACUCCAGCAAAUGCCUGGCUCUUUUACGUGAUUGAAUAGAUUAAAAGAAUUACUGAGUACCUACUAUAUGUUAAUCCUACAAUCUCAAAUUCAAGGUCAGCCUGGACUACACAAGCUCCUGUCUUAAAUAGAAAAAAAAAUAAAAUAAAAACAAAGACUACCAUUCAAUUCUGAAGGAAAGUAUUUUUAUCCUUAGUUGCUACAACUAGACAAAAUGGCAUAAGAAAUGACUGAUAAAUCACAGGAAAACAGUAACUUUAGAUGCUUUGUGUAAAAAGUUUAAUUCCAU
ensembl:lncRNA